rnacentral:rRNA from 1 species
UAAACGAUUUAAUCGUGAAACCGCGAAUGGCUCAUUAUAACAGCUAUAAUUUACUUGAUCUUGACACAAUCCUACUUGGAUAACUGUGGUAAUUCUAGAGCUAAUACAUGCAUUAAAGCUCUGACCUCACGGGAAGAGUGCAUUUAUUAGAACAAAACCAAGCGGCUUCGGCUGUUUCUGGUUGACUCAUAGUAACUGAGCUGAUCGCAUGGUCUUGCACCGGCGACGUGUCUUUCAAGUAUCUGCCGUAUCAACUUUCGAUGGUAGUGUAUCUGACUACCAUGGUGAUCACGCGUAACGGAGAAUAAGGGUUCGGCUCCGGAGAGUUCGCCUGAGAAAUCGCGAACACAUCUAAGGAAGGCAGCAGGCGCGAAAAUUACCCACUCUCAGCACGAGGAGGUAGUGACGAAAAAUAACGAGACCGUUCUCUUAUGAGGCCGGUCAUCGGAAUGGGUACAAUUUAAACCCUUUAACGAGUAUCUAUGAGAGGGCAAGUCUGGUGCCAG